rnacentral:rRNA from 1 species
CCUACGGGAGGCAGCAGUAGGGAAUCUUCCACAAUGGACGAAAGUCUGAUGGAGCAACGCCGCGUGAGUGAAGAAGGGUUUCGGCUCGGAAAGCUCUGUUUGUAGUGAAGAAAGAUAGAGUUAGUAACUGUCCUUUAUUUGACGGUAAUUACUUAGAAAGGCACGGCUAACUACGUGCCGGCAGCCGCGGUAAUACGUAGGUGGCAAGCGUUGUCCGGAUUGAUUGGGCGUAAAGCGAGUGCAGGCGGUUCAAUAAGUCUGAUGUGAAAGCCUUCGGCUCAACCGGGGAAUUGCAUCAGAAACUGUUGACCUUGAGUGCAGAAGCGGAGAGUGGAACUCAAGGUGUAGCGGUGGAAUGCGUAGAUAUAUGGCAGAACACCAGUGGCGAAGGCGGCUCUCUAGUCUGCAACUGACGCUGAGGCUCGAAAGCAUGGGUAGCGAACAGGAUUAGAUACCCGUGUAGUC